rnacentral:rRNA from 1 species
AGCGAACGCUGGCGGCAGGCUUAACACAUGCAAGUCGAGCGGGCACUUUCGGGAGUCAGCGGCAGACGGGUGAGUAACGCGUGGGAACGUGCCCUCUGGUUCGGAAUAACUCAGGGAAACUUGAGCUAAUACCGGAUACGCCCUUUUGGGGAAAGGCUUGCUGCCGGAGGAUCGGCCCGCGUCUGAUUAGCUAGUUGGUGUGGUAACGGCUCACCAAGGCGACGAUCCGUAGCUGGUCUGAGAGGAUGAUCCGCCACACUGGGACUGAGACACGGCCCAGACUCCUACGGGAAGCAGCAGUGGGGAAUAUUGGACAAUGGGCGCAAGCCUGAUCCAGCCAUGCCGCGUGAGUGAUGAAGGCCUUAGGGUUGUAAAGCUCUUUUAUCCGGGACGAUAAUGACGGUACCGGAGGAAUAAGCCCCGGCUAACUUCGUG